rnacentral:rRNA from 1 species
UUGCAAACUGGAGAUGGCGACCGGCGCACGGGUGGGUAACACGUAUCCAACCUGCCGAUAACUCGGGGAUAGCCUUUCGAAAGAAAGAUUAAUACCCGAUGGCAUAAUAGAACCGCAUGGUUUGAUUAUUAAAGAAUUUCGGUUAUCGAUGGGGAUGCGUUCCAUUAGGCAGUUGGUGGGGUAACGGCCCACCAAACCUUCGAUGGAUAGGGGUUCUGAGAGGAAGGUCCCCCACAUUGGAACUGAGACACGGUCCAAACUCCUACGGGAGGCAGCAUG